ACCGGGCGUUAAGUUGCAGGGUAUAGACCCGAAACCCGGUGAUCUAGCCAUGGGCAGGUUGAAGGUUGGGUAACACUAACUGGAGGACCGAACCGACUAAUGUUGAAAAAUUAGCGGAUGACUUGUGGCUGGGGGUGAAAGGCCAAUCAAACCGGGAGAUAGCUGGUUCUCCCCGAAAGCUAUUUAGGUAGCGCCUCGUGAAUUCAUCUCCGGGGGUAGAGCACUGUUUCGGCAAGGGGGUCAUCCCGACUUACCAACCCGAUGCAAACUGCGAAUACCGGAGAAUGUUAUCACGGGAGACACACGGCGGGUGCUAACGUCCGUCGUGAAGAGGGAAACAACCCAGACCGCCAGCUAAGGUCCCAAAGUCAUGGUUAAGUGGGAAACGAUGUGGGAAGGCCCAGACAGCCAGGAUGUUGGCUUAGAAGCAGCCAUCAUUUAAAGAAAGCGUAAUAGCUCACUGGUCGAGUCGGCCUGCGCGGAAGAUGUAACGGGGCUAAACAAUGCACCGAAGCUGCGGCAGCGACACUGUGUGUUGUUGGGUAGGGGAGCGUUCUGUAAGCCUGUGAAGGUGUACUGUAAGGUAUGCUGGAGGUAUCAGAAGUGCGAAUGCUGACAUAAGUAACGAUAAAGCGGGUGAAAAGCCCGCUCGCCGGAAGACCAAGGGUUCCUGUCCAACGUUAAUCGGGGCAGGGUGAGUCGACCCCUAAGGCGAGGCCGAAAGGCGUAGUCGAUGGGAAACAGGUUAAUAUUCCUGUACUUGGUGUUACUGCGAAGGGGGGACGGAGAAGGCUAUGUUGGCCGGGCGACGGUUGUCCCGGUUUAAGCGUGUAGGCUGGUUUUCCAGGCAAAUCCGGAAAAUCAAGGCUGAGGCGUGAUGACGAGGCACUACGGUGCUGAAGCAACAAAUGCCCUGCUUCCAGGAAAAGCCUCUAAGCAUCAGGUAACAUCAAAUCGUACCCCAAACCGACACAGGUGGUCAGGUAGAGAAUACCAAGGCGCUUGAGAGAACUCGGGUGAAGGAACUAGGCAAAAUGGUGCCGUAACUUCGGGAGAAGGCACGCUGAUAUGUAGGUGAAGUCCCUCGCGGAUGGAGCUGAAAUCAGUCGAAGAUACCAGCUGGCUGCAACUGUUUAUUAAAAACACAGCACUGUGCAAACACGAAAGUGGACGUAUACGGUGUGACGCCUGCCCGGUGCCGGAAGGUUAAUUGAUGGGGUCAGCGCAAGCGAAGCUCUUGAUCGAAGCCCCGGUAAACGGCGGCCGUAACUAUAACGGUCCUAAGGUAGCGAAAUUCCUUGUCGGGUAAGUUCCGACCUGCACGAAUGGCGUAAUGAUGGCCAGGCUGUCUCCACCCGAGACUCAGUGAAAUUGAACUCGCUGUGAAGAUGCAGUGUACCCGCGGCAAGACGGAAAGACCCCGUGAACCUUUACUAUAGCUUGACACUGAACAUUGAGCCUUGAUGUGUAGGAUAGGUGGGAGGCUUUGAAGUGUGGACGCCAGUCUGCAUGGAGCCGACCUUGAAAUACCACCCUUUAAUGUUUGAUGUUCUAACGUGGACCCGUGAUCCGGGUUGCGGACAGUGUCUGGUGGGUAGUUUGACUGGGGCGGUCUCCUCCUAAAGAGUAACGGAGGAGCACGAAGGUUGGCUAAUCCUGGUCGGACAUCAGGAGGUUAGUGCAAUGGCAUAAGCCAGCUUGACUGCGAGCGUGACGGCGCGAGCAGGUGCGAAAGCAGGUCAUAGUGAUCCGGUGGUUCUGAAUGGAAGGGCCAUCGCUCAACGGAUAAAAGGUACUCCGGGGAUAACAGGCUGAUACCGCCCAAGAGUUCAUAUCGACGGCGGUGUUUGGCACCUCGAUGUCGGCUCAUCACAUCCUGGGGCUGAAGUAGGUCCCAAGGGUAUGGCUGUUCGCCAUUUAAAGUGGUACGCGAGCUGGGUUUAGAACGUCGUGAGACAGUUCGGUCCCUAUCUGCCGUGGGCGCUGGAGAACUGAGGGGGGCUGCUCCUAGUACGAGAGGACCGGAGUGGACGCAUCACUGGUGUUCGGGUUGUCAUGCCAAUGGCACUGCCCGGUAGCUAAAUGCGGAAGAGAUAAGUGCUGAAAGCAUCUAAGCACGAAACUUGCCCCGAGAUGAGUUCUCCCUGACCCUUUAAGGGUCCUGAAGGAACGUUGAAGACGACGACGUUGAUAGGCCGGGUGUGUAAGCGCAGCGAUGCGUUGAGCUAACCGGUACUAAUGAACCGUGAGGCUUAACCUU
rnacentral:rRNA from 1 species